ensembl:lncRNA
CACCCUGGCAGCUCCGCGGGAUGAGUCUGCUGCUUCGAGGGCCCAGCAGGGCCUGCCCAGGAGCCCCGGACCUGGCCAGCUUCCCGUUACCCGCCCCGCACCAUUGUUCCCGCCUGGUGCCAGCCCUGUGCUCUCCCGCCCCGGCCUCUGGCCCAGAGGGCACCUCAAGCCCCACACCAGCCUGGCUCCGAUUUCCCAGAUACCAGACUUGCUCACACUGGAGCAGAAGCAGGUUUCAGGAGGCCUGUGGUUUGAAUUUCCGGACCACCCGGACCUGCUCCGUGGCCUUGGGCAACCCAGGCUCCUGGACUUCCCCUUUUUUGGCCGUGCCACACGGGACGCCAGAUCUUAGUUCCCUGACCAGAGACCGAACCUGUGUCCCCUAAAGAGGAAGUGCGGAGUCUUAACCACUGGACUGCCAGGAAGCCCUCCCUCGGCAUUGUCUUCCCCUGUGC